AUCAUCCUCUCUUCUUUACAAUCACCCUAUCCAGGCUUUCUACCUCUUCACACGUGUUCUGGAGGACUCAAAUAGGAGGAUCAAAAGCAGAAUGUCAGAUGGUUUAUUAUCGUUUCCACUCGAUGAUAUAUUUGCCAAUUUUAGGAUCCCCUGACCACUUGUUCCAGCCAAUACCAGAUCGCGUUUCUGCUGGAAUGUUGGUGCCACAUCAACCACAAACUAUGUUGUUCAUGUGGUGUGAUCUCCAAUAAAAAUUUUUCAUUAAGUGCUAUCGCUUCAGAGCACUUGUUGGGGUUCUUAAAAAAAAAAGAAAAUAAAAAAAAAAUGGGGAUGAAAAUAUGUGGAAAUCUCUAGGCCUUUUUAAUUAUAUGGGAUAUAAUUAUUAUAUUUUUGACUUCACGGAUAUUGCAGAAUUUGAAUAUUUGACAAAUCGGAAAAGGAUGCUGUAUGAAAUCAUCUUAGAAUAAUUAAAAGAAAUUAAAUUAUAUGUGCAAAUUGGGAAUUAUUCAGCCUUCGGGUGUAGAUACAGGUGACAAGCGAGGUUAUGGAUUGUUUUGAAACAGGUAGAGUUUUGUUAGAAACGGAAUCAUUUAAUAACUUAACAGGUGGUACAUCAGGUGAAAACUAUAGACGAUUGCUCUUCGCUGAAGCUUCAUUGUUUUGCUUUUGUCGAUCUUCACACUUUCAGUUGUCAUCGGAUGAAAAGCGAAGGACGUUUAGUGAUAACUACCGGAACUAACAGGUGUUAUACGUAAGGCACAGUAGCCCGGUGUCAAGGUUGGGACCCCGAUACAACCUUGUUUCAGACAGCUCGUCCCGGGGCGCAUCCCAACCUGCCUUUACUCUAGAGUAAAAAUGGUAGAAGACUAACGAUUGUUUCGCGCCUUAUUAACGAGAAAGGAAAUCGUUUAAAUUGAAAAUAACUUCCUCAAAAAUAGAAUAAAAAUGGCUUAAAUCCAAAUAUUGCAUCGUGCUUACUCCUCGGCAUUAAUCGAAAGUUUAGUAACGCUUUUAAUUUUAGACGUCAUCGUGACAAGAACACGAUUGAGGAAAGCGUUGUUCUGUAUCAAGAGGACCUAAUUGCCAAACGUGACUGCGAUACUUUCAUCAUCAUUUUCUUCCAGCCAUUAAUAUCGUUAAGGUGUUCACCCAAUUUGAUCUUUGACAUUACGGGGGGCCUCUA